rnacentral:rRNA from 1 species
GAUGAACGCUGGCGGCGUGCCUAAUACAUGCAAGUCGAGCGAACGGACGAGAAGCUUGCUUCUCUGAUGUUAGCGGCGGACGGGUGAGUAACACGUGGAUAACCUACUUAUAAGACUGGGAUAACUUCGGGAAACCGGAGCUAAUACCGGAUAAUAUUUUGAACCGCAUGGUUCAAAAGUGAAAGACGGUCUUGCUGUCACUUAUAGAUGGAUCCGCGCUGCAUUAGCUAGUUGGUAAGGUAACGGCUUACCAAGGCAACGAUGCAUAGCCGACCUGAGAGGGUGAUCAGCCACACUGGAACUGAGACACGGUCCAGACUCCUACGGGAGGCAGCAGUAGGGAAUCUUGCGCAAUGGGCGAAAGCCUGACGGAGCAACGCCGCGUGAGUGAUGAAGGUCUUCGGAUCGUAAAACUCUGUUAUUAGGGAAGAACAUAUGUGUAAGUAACUGUGCACAUCUUGACGGUACCUAAUCAGAAAGCCACGGCUAACUACGUG